ACUGUAGCGCUUUGUAAUCAUACAAUAUCGUGGCAAUAAACAAAGGAAGUGAUCAGUCGCGUGUGAGUAAGCGUCAAUAACGCUGUCCGUUCGGAAUUUGUAAAUUUUGCAGUGGCCAUUUUGUUUUAACAGACUGAAUUUCCGGAAUUAAAACUGCAAUUUCAAAUUUCUCUCUCCAUUAAUACCUUCUUCGAAUUUCAAGGAAUAAAUAAAUACU